GCGUUAGCCAUAGGGACACAAAAACAUAGAUUUACAUCGUAAGUCAGUCUACAGAACCUAAAACUUAGGCUCUGAUACCAACUGUACCGACUCAACUUUUCUAAGUAAGUCGAGAUCGUUAAUUUUUAACAAAUAAAGACUUUGAUUAAUAUAAAACAAAACGUAAACAAUUAAAAAAAAAAAAACAUCUUCAAGUCAGGCCUGAUUUUUAAACAUUCAAGAAAACAUAAAAUAAUACUAUUUACAACAAACGUUUGUAAACUAAAUUUCAAUUCAUUUUAAACCUCACAAGAA
rnacentral:lncRNA from 1 species